AUUGAACGCUGGCGGCAUGCUUUACACAUGCAAGUCGAACGGUAACAGGCCUUCGGGUGCUGACGAGUGGCGAACGGGUGAGUAAUGCAUCGGAACGUACCCAGAGGUGGGGAUAACGCAGCGGAAGCUGUUCUAAUACCGCAUGUGAUCUGAGGAUGAAAGCGGGGGACCGAGCAGCAAUGUUUGGCCUCGCGCCUUUGGGGCCGCCGAUGUCGGAUUAGCUAGUUGGUGGGGUAAAGGCCUACCAAGGCGACGAACCGUAGCUGGUCUGAGAGGACGACCAGCCACACUGGGACUGAGACACGGCCCAGACUCCUACGGGAGGCAGCAGUGGGGAAUUUUGGACAAUGGGCGCAAGCCUGAUCCAGCAAUGCCGCGUGCGGGAAGAAGGCCUUCGGGUUGUAAACCGCUUUUGGCAGGAACGAAACGGUGUCCGCUAAUACCGGGCGCUAAUGACGGUACCUGCAGAAUAAGCACCGGCUAACUACGUG
rnacentral:rRNA from 1 species